rnacentral:rRNA from 1 species
AUUGAACGCUGGCGGCAGGCCUAACACAUGCAAGUCGAGCGAGCGGCGGACGGGUGAGUAAUGUCUGGGAAACUGCCUGAUGGAGGGGGAUAACUCCUGGAAACGGUAGCUAAUACCGCAUACCAUCAGAUGUGCCCAGAUGGGAUUGACGAGUAGGCGGGGUAACGGCUCACCUAGGCGACGAUCCCUAGCUGGUCUGAGAGGAUGACCAGCCACACGGGAACUGGGACACGGUACAGACUCCUACGGGCAGCAGCAGUGGGGAAUAUUGCACAAUGGGCGCAAGCCUGAUGCAGCCAUGCCGCGUGUGUGAAGAAGGCCUUCGGGUUGUAAAGCACUUUCAGCGGGGAGGCGUUACCCGAAGAAGAAGCACCGGCUAACUCCGUGCCAGCCGCCGCGGUAAUUC